UAACGGAGGAAAGAAACCAACAGGGAUUGCCUCAGUAACGGCGAGUGAAGCGGCAACAGCUCAAAUUUGAAAUCUGGCCCCUUCGGGGUCCGAGUUGUAAUUUGCAGAGGGUGCUUUUGGUGUUGGCCGUGGUCUAAGUUCCUUGGAACAGGACGUCACAGAGGGUGAGAAUCCCGUACGUGGCCGCCGGCCCUCGCCUUGUAAAGCCCCUUCGACGAGUCGAGUUGUUUGGGAAUGCAGCUCUAAAUGGGAGGUAAAUUUCUUCUAAAGCUAAAUACCCGCCAGAGACCGAUAGCGCACAAGUAGAGUGAUCGAAAGAUGAAAAGCACUUUGGAAAGAGAGUGAAAAAGCACGUGAAAUUGUUGAAAGGGAAGCGCUUGCGGCCAGACGUGCCCGCGGUUGUUCAUCUGGGCUCUCGCCCGGUGCACUCCUCCGCGGGCAGGCCAGCAUCAGUUUGGGCGGUCGGACAAAGGUCUCUAUCACGUACCACCCCUCGGGGUGGCCUUAUAGGGGAGACGCAACACGGCCAGCCUGGACUGAGGUUCCGCGCAUCUGCUAGGAUGCUGGCGUAAUGGCAGCAAGCGGCCCGUCUUGAAACACGGACCAAGGAGUCUAACAUCUAUGCGAGUGUUUGGGUGUCAAGCCCGAGCGCGUAAUGAAAGUGAACGGAGGUGGGAACCCCUCGGGGCGCACCAUCGACCGAUCCUGAUGUCUUCGGAUGGAUUUGAGUAAGAGCAUAGCUGUUGGGACCCGAAAGAUGGUGAACUAUGCCUGAAUAGGGUGAAGCCAGAGGAAACUCUGGUGGAGGCUCGCAGCGGUUCUGACGUGCAAAUCGAUCGUCAAAUUUGGGCAUAGGGGCGAAAGACUAAUCGAA
rnacentral:rRNA from 1 species